rnacentral:rRNA from 1 species
GCGAACAGAUAAGGAGCUUGCUCCUUUGACGUUUGCGGCGGACGGGUGAGUAACACGUGGGUAACCUACCUAUAAGACUGGGACAACUUCGGGAAACCGGAGCUAAUACCGGAUAAUAUGCUGAACCGCAUGGUUCAAUAGUGAAAGAUGGUUUUGCUAUCACUUAUAGAUGGACCUGCGCCGUAUUAGCUAGUUGGUGAGGUAACGGCUCACCAAGGCAACGAUACGUAGCCGACCUGAGAGGGUGAUCGGCCACACUGGAACUGAGACACGGUCCAGACUCCUACGGGAGGCAGCAGUAGGGAAUCUUCCGCAAUGGGCGAAAGCCUGACGGAGCAACGCCGCGUGAGUGAUGAAGGUCUUAGGAUCGUAAAACUCUGUUAUUAGGGAAGAACAAACGUGUAAGUAACUGUGCACGUCUUGACGGUACCUAAUCAGAAAGCCACGGCUAACUACGUGCCAGCAGCCGCGGUAAUACGUAGGUGGCAAGCGUUAUCCGGAAUUAUUGGGCGUAAAGCGCGCGUAGGCGGUUUUUUAAGUCUGAUGUGAAAGCCCACGGCUCAACCGUGGAGGGUCAUUGGAAACUGGAAAACUUGAGUGCAGAAGAGGAAAGUGGAAUUCCAUGUGUAGCGGUGAAAUGCGCGGAGAUAUGGAGGAACACCAGUGGCGAAGGCGACUUUCUGGUCUGUAACUGACGCUGAUGUGCGAAAGCGUGGGGAUCAAACAGGAUUA